CUUGAACCCGGGAGGUGGAGGUUGCAGUGAGCCGAGAUCGUGCCAUUGCACUCCAGCCUGGGCAACAAGAGCAACUCCAUCUCAAAAAUGAGAAUGGGUGUGAUGUGUGAGUGUGAGAGCAGGUGUGUGGGAGCAUGCAUGAGUAUGCAUGCGUGUAAGCAUGCAAGUGGAUAUGCAUGAGCAGAAUGUAUGUGCAUGCGUGAGCAGGUGUGAGUGAGGUGCAAGUGUGUGUAAGUGGUGUGAAAUAUGAGCAGGUGUCAAUGAGGUGUGAAUGAGCUGGUGUGAGCGUGUGUGUGAGUGCAUAAGUGAGCAGCUGUGAGGUGUGAGCAUGUAUGUGAGCAGGUAUGUGAUGUGUGAGCAUAUGUGUGAGCAUGUGUGUGCAGAUAUGUGUGGGCAGGUGUGUGUGAGUGGGUGUGAGAUGUGAGCAUGUGUGUGAGGUAUGAAGUGUGAGCAUGUGUGAGGUGUGAGCAUGUGAGUGGGUGUGAAUGUGUGAGGUUAGCAUGUGUGAAGUGUGAGCAUGUGUGUGAGUAUGAGUUUGUGAGCAUAAGUGUGUGUGAGACUUGAUGUGAGGUGAGGAAGUGUGUGUAUGGAUAGGUGAGCAUAUGUGUGAGCAGAUGUGAGCAUGUGUGAGUGGGCAUGUGCGUGAGUGAAUGGUGAGGUGUGUGAGCACAAGUGUGUGAGCAGGGGCGUGUGUGGGGCUGAGCAAUGUGAGAUGUGAGCAGGUGUGUGUAUGCAAGUGUGUGUGAGGUGUGGGUAGGUGCGAUCAUAUGUGAGUGGAUAUGUGGGAGUGAAUGGUGUGGUGUACGUGUGUGUGAGCAGGGGCAUGUGUGUGCGAGGGUGAGCAAUGUAAGGUGUGAGGGUGAGCAGUGUAAGAUGUGUAAGCAGGUGUAUUUGUGCAAGUAUGUGUGAGCAAGUAUAAGCAGGUGUGAUUAUGAGACCUGGUGUGAGGUGUAUGAGGUGUGUGAACAUGAGUGUGUGAACCUGGUGUGAGGUGUGUGUGAGCAGGUGUGAGUGGGCGUGUGUAUGAGUGUGAGAAGGUGCCUUGGGUGUGACCGUGUGUUGGGGCAGUAAGUGGGUCUGAGUGUGUGUGCAUGUGUGUGAGUGGGUGCAUUGGGUGGGUGUGAGUGUGCAUGUGAGUGAGUGUGAAUGUGGUGUGAGCAUGAGUGGGUGUGACCAGGAUUGUGUGAGUGGGUUGUGAAUGUGUAAGCAGAUGCAGUGUGGGUUUGAACAUGUGGGUGGGUGCAAGCAUGUGAGUGGGUGUGUCGUGUGGGUGCCAGUGUGCGGGGGCAUGUUAGUUAAUGAGUGUGAGCAUGUGUGUGGGUGUGAGUUGGUGCAUUGUGUGGGUGUGUGAGAAAGUGUGUCGGUGUGUGAGGGCAGAUGUGGGUGUGAAUGUGCAAGUGGGUGGGUGUGGGUGCAAUAUGGUGUGUGGGUGCAUUGCACAAUGCAUGUGUGUGAGCAUGUGGGUGUGAGUCUGUGAGCACGUGCAUUGUGUGUGCAUGUGUGUGACAGCAUGUGUGUGAUCAGAUACAUUGUGUGUACGUGUGAGCGUGUGUGGGUGUGAGCAU
rnacentral:lncRNA from 1 species